UUCUAGCCCUGAUAGAAGCGGCAUCCUUUUUUGCCUUUCUUUAAGGCGAAAAAGAUACAGCGAAUAGCAGGAAAUAGC
rnacentral:sRNA from 1 species